UCAUUUAUUUUAAUAGUGCCAAUUCUAUUCAAGUUUACAGAGAUAUGCAUUUUCUUUGUUCUAAUCAGUCUGGCCCAGCAGGGAGUGGCUCCCCAAAAUGCCAAGACA